GAUGAACGCUGACAGAAUGCUUAACACAUGCAAGUCGACUUGAAUUUGGGUUUUUAACUCAGGAUUGGGCGGCGGACGGGUGAGUAACGCGUAAAGAACUUGCUUCACAGCUAGGGACAACUUCUGGAAACGAAUGUUAAUACCCAAACUUAUGAUAAUAGGGCAUCCUAUAAUUAUGAAACCUAUACGCGCUGUGAGAGAGCUUUGCGUCCAAUUAGCUAGUUGGAGAGGUAACGGCUCACCAAGGCGACGAUGGGUAGCCGGACUGAGAGGGUGAUCGGCCACAAGGGGAUGGGGGAACGGCCCGUACGGCAUAGGGAAGCAGGAGUGAAAAAUUGUGGAAGAUAGGCCGAGUGUCUGAUGCAGCUAUUCUGAGUGCACGAUGAAGUUUUUCGGAAUGUAAAGUGGUUUCAGUUGAGAAGAAUCAAAUGACGGUACCAACAGAAGAAGUGACGGCUAAAUACGUG
rnacentral:rRNA from 1 species